AUACAGAGGGUGCGAGCGUUAAUCGGAAUUACUGGGCGUAAAGCGCGCGUAGGCGGCUUGGUCAGUCGGAUGUGAAAGCCCCGGGCUCAACCUGGGAAUGGCAUUCGAUACUGCCAGGCUAGAGUAUGAGAGAGGGAAGUGGAAUUUCCGGUGUAGCGGUGAAAUGCGUAGAUAUCGGAAAGAACACCAGUGGCGAAGGCGACUUCCUGGCCCAAUACUGACGCUGAGGUGCGAAAGCGUGGGGAGCGAACAGAAUGAGAAACCCCAGUAGUCC
rnacentral:rRNA from 1 species